UGACUCAACACGGGGAAACUCACCCGGCCCGGACACCGUAAGGAUUGACAGAUUGAUAGCUUUUUCAUGAUUCGGUGGAUGGUGGUGCAUGGCCGUUCUUAGUUCGUGGAGCGAUUUGUCUGGUUUAUUCCGAUAACGAGCGAGACUCUGGCCUACUAAAUAGUUGACGCAUUGCCACUGUGCGCACAACUUCUUAGAGGGAUUUUCGGUGUUUUCAACCGCACGAAAUUGAGCAAUAACAGGUCUGUGAUGCCCUUAGAUGUCCGGGGCUGCACGCGCGCUACACUGGCAAACGCAACGUGCCUGUCCUGCCCCGAAAGGAGCGGGUAAACCCCUGAAAUUUUGCCGUGAUUGGGAUCGGACAUUGCAACUAUUGUCCGUGAACGAGGAAUUCCUUGUAGGGGCGAGUCAUCAACUCGUCCCGAAUACGU
rnacentral:rRNA from 1 species